rnacentral:rRNA from 1 species
GAUGAACGCUGGCGGCGUGCCUAAUACAUGCAAGUCGAGCGAACAGAUGAGGAGCUUGCUCCUCUGACGUUAGCGGCGGACGGGUGAGUAACACGUGGAUAACCUACCUAUAAGACUGGGAUAACUUCGGGAAACCGGAGCUAAUACCGGAUAAUAUAUUGAACCGCAUGGUUCAAUAGUGAAAGACGGUUUUGCUGUCACUUAUAGAUGGAUCCGCGCCGCAUUAGCUAGUUGGUAAGGUAACGGCUUACCAAGGCAACGAUGCGUAGCCGACCUGAGAGGGUGAUCGGCCACACUGGAACUGAGACACGGUCCAGACUCCUACGGGAGGCAGCAGUAGGGAAUCUUCCGCAAUGGGCGAAAGCCUGACGGGGCAACGCCGCGUGAGUGAUGAAGGUCUUCGGAUCGUAAAACUCUGUUAUUAGGGAAGAACAAAUGUGUAAGUAACUAUGCACGUCUUGACGGUACCUAAUCAGAAAGCCACGGCUAACUACG